GGGGAAUAUUGCGCAAUGGGGGAAACCCUGACGCAGCUACGCCGCGUGGGUGAUGAAGGCCUUCGGGUUGUAAAGCCCUGUCGGGAGGGACGAAUUCUUGACGGUACCUCCCAAGAAAGCACCGGCUAACCCUGUGCCAGCAGCCGCGGUAAUACAGGGGGUGCGAGCGUUGCUCGGAAUUACUGGGCGUAAAGCGUACGCAGGCUGUCUUGCAAGUCGGGUGUGAAAGCCCGGGGCUCAACCCGGGAAAGGCGCCCGAGACUGCCGGACUUGAAUGCGGGAGAGGAAAGCGGAAUUCCCGGUGUAGAGGUGAAAUUCGUAGAUAUCGGGAGGAACACCUGUGGCGAAAGCGGCUUUCUGGACCGACAUUGACGCUCAUGUACGAAAGCGCGGGGAGCAAAC
rnacentral:rRNA from 1 species